rnacentral:lncRNA from 1 species
AUGGUGGCUUCAGCAAAGCAAAUCAACGAUGAAGAUGAGUUGAGGGAACGUUCUAUUCCAGUAGGAGAUGGAGAUGAAUGAAUACUGACUGCUCACUGGAGACUCUAGGGUCCAGCCACAAAGGACUCAGCUGUCGCACCAGGAUGGGACAAUUAACAAUAGCCACUGAAGGGCAUCCAGCCAACCUCAGAAAACUGGAAGUCAUCUAGAUCCUAAGGAGAGAAAAGUAAAAAAAUCUCAAGUCUUUCUUUGUAACUGGCUCAGAAUUCGCUUUUACCUGUUUAAGUUGUCCUAAAUCUGUGAUUUAGUUGUCCUAAACCUGUGAUAAAAUUCUGGAUGUAAGUAUCAUAGUUUAAAUCAUUGUUGCAC